GAUGAACGCUGGCGGCGUGCCUAAUACAUGCAAGUCGAGCGAACGGACGAGAAGCUUGCUUCUCUGAUGUUAGCGGCGGACGGGUGAGUAACACGUGGAUAACCUACCUAUAAGACUGGGAUAACUUCGGGAAACCGGAGCUAAUACCGGAUGAUAUUUUGAACCGCAUGGUUCAAAAGUGAAAGACGGUCUUGCUGUCACUUAUAGAUGGAUCCGCGCUGCAUUAGCUAGUUGGUAAGGUAACGGCUUACCAAGGCAACGAUGCAUAGCCGACCUGAGAGGGUGAUCGGCCACCCUGGAACUGAGACACGGUCCAGACUCCUACGGGAGGAAGCAGUAGGGAAUCUUCCGCAAUAGGCGAAAGCCUGACGGAGCAACGCCGCGUGAGUGAUGAAGGUCUUCGGAUCGUAAAACUCUGUUAUUAGGGAAGAACAUAUGUGUAAGUAACUGUGCACAUCUUGACGGUACCUAAUCAGAAAGCCACGGCUAACUACGUG
rnacentral:rRNA from 1 species